UGGAAAGACCUUCAAUUGUUCUUUGAACAAUUGGUUUUUAAUUAUUAUUAUUUUUUUUUUUUUUUUUUCUUCCGCCUAAUUUUUUUUCUUGCGUAUUAUUGAUGUUUCAAAAGAUGUCGCUUAGAUAUUUGGAAUAUGAUAUCGUAUAGUUUAUACGCUUUAAAAAUUUACAACUGCGUAACAAAAUACUUUACGUUGUAAGAGUUAUCUCCCCAAACACUGUUUUUCUUGUGGCCACUACUCCUUCGCAACCGUUAAAGAUUACGACAAAUUUAUUUUACCAAAUUGCUCGUUACAUCUUCAGGAUUAGGAUAUUCAUUUGGACCGAAGCUUUCCGGAGACUCCAUAUGAGAGUUAUUCCCCCUUUUUCAUUUGAAUUAAGUGAUAUGCAUUUCUAACUGGUAAACCAUAAGUGAUAGAGACCUAGGGUCUUUAGAUUUGAGGUCCUUGGUCCAAAAAAAUGAAAAUGAGGUCAAGGUCAAAGGUCAAGGUCAUAUUCUAAAUUU
rnacentral:lncRNA from 1 species